GGCACUGUGCAGCAGCUCCAGAGGCUUGUACUACGAAGCAAGUUCAACAUGCCCUGGAUUUAUUUCCCGGCUUCACCUAACCUCACAACCGCGGCCACAUCAG